rnacentral:rRNA from 1 species
GAUAGCGUCCAUACCACACUGAAAACACCGGUUCUCGUCCGAUCACCGCAGUUAAGCAGUGUCGGGCCCAGUUAGUACUUGGAUGGGUGACCGCCUGGGAAUACUGGGUGUCGCUACCU